GACGAACGCUGGCGGCGUGCUUAACACAUGCAAGUGGAGCGACGAACCAGGCUUCGGCCUGGGGCAAAGCCGCGAACGGGUGAGUAACACGUGGGUAACCUGCCCUGAUGACCGGGACAACCCGAGGAAACUCGGGCUAAUACCGGAUGUGCUCCCACCACAUCAGUGGUGUGAGUAAAGGUAGCUUCGGCCUCCGCAUCGGGAUGGGCCCGCGGCGCAUUAGCUUGUUGGUGAGGAACGGCUUACCAAGGCAACGAUGCGUAGCUGGUCUGAGAGGACGAUCAGCCACACUGGGACUGAGACACGGCCCAGACUCCUACGGGAGGCAGCAGUGGGGAAUCUUGCGCAAUGCGCGAAAGCGUGACGCAGCAACGCCGCGUGAGGGAUGAAGGCC
rnacentral:rRNA from 1 species